UAGUGGGGCGCUAUCCUCCUAAAGAGUAACGGAGGAGUUUAUUAAGGUCAGCUAGGCGCGAAUGGAAACCGUGCCGAUAGUGUAAUGGCAUAAGCUGGCUUAACUGUGAGACGUACUUGUCAAACAGAUGCGAAAGCAGAACAUAGUGAACCGACGGUCCGUUUUAGAGGCGGCCGGAGAUUAUCGGAUAAAAGCUACCCUGGGGAUAACAGGCUGGUUGCGCCUAAGCGUCCAUAGCGACGGCGCAGUUCGGCACCUCGAUGUCGGCUCAACUUAUCCUGGAGGUGNNUUUGGCACCUCGAUGUCGGCUCAUCACAUCCUGGGGGUGGAGAAGCUCCCAAGGGUAUGGCUGUUCGCCAUUUAAAAAGAUACGCGAGCUGGGUUCAGACCGU
rnacentral:rRNA from 1 species